rnacentral:rRNA from 1 species
GUGAGAAAAUCUCAAUAAGAGCAUAUGGUGAAUGCCUUGACACAAAAAGACGAUGAAGGACGUAGCAGCCUGCGAUAAGCCUUGGUGAGGUGGUAAGCAACCUUUGACCCAAGGAUUUCCGAAUGGGGAAACCUACUUCGUUGAAGACGAAGUGUCCCUUAUCUGAACACAUAGGAUAAGUGAGACGAAUACCCGGUGAACUGAAACAUCUUAGUAACCGGAGGAAAAGAGAACAACAAUGGGUGCUACACAGAUUAACUUAGUUUCGGCUAAGCGAUUCUGUGUAACAUCUCGUGAUUCCCUGAGUAGUGGCGAGCGAAAGGGGAAAAGCCUAAACCUUAUUAAACCUUGUAUUAUGAUUUUACUUCGGUAAUUGAAUUUUACUUAAGGGUCUGAGCCCACAUGUUUAUAAGGGGUUGUAAGAUAUACAUUUUCUAUUUCUCAGAUUUUUUAGAGCAGAGUCAUAAAAGUUAUUGUUAGUUAAAGCGAGUUGGAAAGCUCCGCCAGAGAAGGUGACAGCCCUGUACGCGAAAACAAUUUCUCUCUGUUUUGUAUAUUCUUAAGUAGGGCGGGACACGUGAAAUCCCGUUUGAAUCUAGGUCGACUAUGAUCUAAGGCUAAAUACUUUUUGUGAUCGAUAGUGAACAAGUACCGUGAGGGAAAGGUGAAAAGCAUCCCGGGAGGGAGGUGAAAUAGUACCUGAAACCAUAUGCUUACAAGGAGUCGGAGCCCUUCGGGGUGACGGCGUGCCUAUUGAAGAAUGAGCCAACGAGUUUGUUGUAUGUGGCUUGAUUAAUCCCGCACCUUUUCGCUGAGAGUUAAAGAAGAUCAUUUGAAUUUUAAUUAAUUCAAAUAUAUAUCUGAAAUUUCUAUUCGGCCAAAAGGUGCGGGAGAAGUCAUAGUGAAAGCGAGGGUUAAUAGCCCGUAUCUUACUUUUUAGAAAUAUAAGAAUAUUUAUAUUCUAGUAUUUCUAAAAUUUAGGAAGGUCGCAUGCACAAGACCCGAAUCCAGGUGAUCUAACCAUGACCAGGCUGAAUCUCAUAGAAAUAUGAGAGAAGGGCCGAACCCACUAGUCGUGCAACACUAGGGGAUGAGUUGUGGUUAGCGGAGAAAUUCCAAUCGAACCUGGCAAUAGCUGGUUCUCCUCGAAAUAGCUUUAGGGCUAGCGUCGGAUGCUGACUACUGGGGGUAGAGCACUGAAUGGGUCUGGGGCCGCAAGGUACCCUGCCUAACCAAACUCCGAAUACCAGUAGGUGUAAUCCGGCAGUUAGACUAUGGGGGCUAAGCUCCAUCAGUCAAAAGGGAAACAGCCCAGAUCACAAUCUAAGGUCCCUAAAUAUAUACUAAGUGUAAAAGGUGGUGUUGUGACUACUACAACUAGGAGGUUGGCUUAGAAGCAGCCAUCCUUUAAAGAUAGCGUAAUAGCUCACUAGUCCAGUUGUUUCGCGCCGAAAAUUUAUCGGGGCUAAGUAUAUUACCGAAGAUGUGAGUUCAUUAUUUAUUUAAUGAGCGGUAGAGGAGCAUUCUCAUUGCUUUGAAGUCGAAUCGUGAGAUUCGGUGGAGCGGUGAGAAGAGAGAAUGUUGGCAUGAGUAGCAAAAAGGCGGGUGAGAACCCCGCCCACCGUAAGACUAAGGGUUCCUGGGCAACGCAAAUCGCCCCAGGGUUAGUCGGUCCUAAGACGAGGCGUGUGUAGUGCACGCGUAGCCGAUGGAUGAGCUGGUUAAUAUUCCAGCACUACUGUUGUUUUCCGAUGGGGGGACGCGGUUCAGAAGUUUGAGCGUAUCUAUGGUAUGUACGUUGAUUACUUUGAGAAACGAUCUAGGUAAAUCCGGAUCAUUAGUUUCAAGAAGUUGUCUGAAGAUGAAGUCUCUGAUGGAAUCAAUUCGAGUGGAUGAAUCGCCCAGAAAAACCUCUAGGGCUAAGGCAACAGUAACCGUACCGUAAACCGACACAGGUAGUCGAGGCGAGUAGCCUCAGGUGAACGAGAGAACCUUCGUUAAGGAACUAGGCAAAACAGCGUCCGUAAUUUCGAGAUAAGGACUGCCCUACUUUUGUAGGGCCGCAGCUAAAGAGCUCGGGUGACUGUUUACCAAAAACACAGCUCCCUGCUAACUCGUAAGAGGAUGUAUAGGGGGUGACGCCUGGCCAGUGUCCGAACGUUAAGUGGAUGGGUUAGCACUUCGGUGCGAAGCUCUGAAAUCAAGCGCGGAUGAACGCCGGCCGUAACUAUAACGGUCCUAAGGUAAUGUAAUUUAGAGAUAGAUUGCAUUUUGACUGGGACCGUUGUACAGAAAUUCGUUGCCUAUUUUGAUUGUAAUAAUCAGAAUGUCAUUAAACACUCAGAUAUAUGCGGGGAAAUCCUCAAAAGAUUUUCGGUACUCACUCUAUUUUAUAGAGAAGUAAAAAUCCGAAAAUACAUGGGGGCGACACGCAGAAUUAAUUUAAUAAUUGAUUCUCAGAGACUUAACACUGAGGUCCGUAAAAAUAUGCUUAUAAAUCCAUAUUGGAUAAGUGGUUUCACUGACGGUGAAGGAACUUUUUAUGUCGGAAUAAAUAAAAAUUCAACAAUGAACGUUGGAUAUCAGGUUCUACCUGAGUUUAGAAUAGUUCAACAUAAAAAAGACAUAGCCUUAUUACACUCAAUUAAAAAAUAUUUUAAUUGCGGAGUAGUGAGAGUUAACCAUGAUGAUAGAUUUGAAUUGAGAAUAAGAUCGAUUGAACAUAUAAAUCAGAUUAUUAUUCCUCACUUCGAAAAAUAUCCGCUUAUCACUCAGAAAAAAUUUGAUUUUAUUAAAUUUAAGAAAAUUAUUAAUUUAAUAAAUCAAGAAAAGCAUCUGGAAAAAGAUGGAUUAAUAAAAAUAAUUGAUAUUUCUAGUCAAAUGAACAGGAAAGACAAAAAGAAAGCGCUAGAAAUAAAAAAUAACAUAUUAGGACAAGAUAAAGUCCAUGCUUGAUAGAUAAUAUCAAGAGGGUACAGAGCGAAAUUCCUUGUCGGGUAAGUUCCGACCUGCACGAAUGGCGUAACAACUUGAGCACUGUCUCAACGAAGGACUCGGCGAAAUUGCAAGACGAGUAAAGAUGCUCGUUAAUCGUAGUCGGACGAAAAGACCCCGUGAAGCUUUACUAUAGCUUGACAUUGAAUUAGGGUCAUGCAUGUUCAGUAUAGGUGGGAGCCUUCGGGCACCAGUGAGAUACCACCCUUGUAUGUUUUUAAUUCUAACUUGAGACCAUGAAUCUGGUCCAAGGACAGUGUCUGGUGGGUAGUUUGUCUGGGGCGGAUGCCUCAUAAAGAGUAACUGAGGCGAUUACAAAGGUUAGCUAUCCCGGAAUGGAAACCCGGGAGAUUGUUUAAAGGCAAAAGCUAGCUUUACUGCAAGACCUACAAGUCGAGCAGUUGCGAAAGCAGAACUUAGUGAUCCGACCGUUCGAUAUAGGACGGCGGAAGCUCAUCGGAUAAAAGCUACUCCGGGGAUAACAGGCUAGUCACGCCCAAGCGUCCACAGCGACGGCGUGGUUCGGCACCUCG